GACUCACGGCAACGGAUAUCUCGGCUCUCGCAUCGAUGAAGAACGUAGCGAAGUGCGAUACUUGGUGUGAAUUGCAGAAUCCCGUGAACCAUCGAGUUUUUGAACGCAAGUUGCGCCCAAAGCUCUUUGCCAAGGGCAUGCCUGCCUGGGCGUCACGUAUCA
rnacentral:rRNA from 1 species